AGAAUAAAACCACAGCUCUGUGUGCCUCCAUGGCUGCCUGCCUUGCUGAUGCGCAGGCAGCUGGCCUGUCCCCGUCGAGCCUCACUACUGCCACCCGUGCCCCCUCAAAUUGGAGAAAAGCCUGUACCCCCUAAGUGGCACUGCACAGGAAACCGUGUGCCCUACAGACAGUACCCACAGGCAGCCAGGAACCCUGAUGUGACCUUUCAGUUGAUUUAUGCAGAAGAUAAUAUCUCCCCAUGGGGAGGAGAACUGGUCACAUCCUCCUUCGGGCACAGGACAUCUCUGAGUGCGGAGUUUUCCCCAGCCAUUGUGAAAUAUGAAGAUCUUUGUGACAAACGUGUAAGUCAUUCUAAAAUAAACACUUCAUGAGUCACCCA